rnacentral:lncRNA from 1 species
AACUUGACCGCUGCCUGCGAGACGGGUCGGUGAUAGAAAAAGGAAGGAUCGCGGGAAAUAGGGAGAAAGUUUCAAGUUUCUGGUUGGGGGAAAGGGGACUCUGUAAUGCGAGCUUGGGUAAACAAUGCUUUCCAACAGAGGUUUCUGGAAGUGCCUCUGGAACUCCGCAAAGGAUAGACUUAAUUUUCAUUAACAAAAUCUAUUUUUUAAAACUGCACUUAGAAUAAUUUCAACACUCCAUGUGUUGAAUUUGGCCUCCAUCAAAGAAGAGAUGCAAAGGGUUAAUUUGUAGAUAGGUGAAGUCAAUCUUGGGCCAACUUCUGGACUCAUGGUUAUUUGUUGUUGUUAAUUUAAUUUAUAUGCCGAGUCUGAAAAGCAAGCGGAUUUUUAAAAAAUUGUUACCAUUCACAAUGACUUCUCUAUAGGAUCAGAACUGGUUCACUUUACAGUCAACCCAACUUGGAGGGGUUAAAAUAGGUGCUGCAGAUGGUAAGUGCAUUGUAACCUCCAUCCAUCUUCCCCAUUUCAGUAGCUCUGUAUUCAAAUCUUUAUUGAGUAUGUACUUUGCACAUGGAACUGUCUUUGAUUGACUGUAUAAGCUAAUGUUAUACUUUAAACCUAAAAAUAAAUUAACACCAAUAAAACAUUGUCGUCGGCUGGGCGCCACUGCUCACACUUGUAAUCCCAGCACUUUGGGAGGCCAAGGCAGGUGGAUCACCUGAAGUCAGGAGUUGGAGACCAGCCUGGCCAACAUGGUGAAACCCCAUUGCUACCAAAA